ACGCUAAGUGUGUUCAGCUGUGAUUUUUACCGCUGCGCAAUGGCUGCUGCAGGAAAAGGGAAGAAAUGAUUUACAUAACUUGUGUCCAUUCAUCUUUUUUUCCCCCCCUCACUCAGAGUUUCAUGGCUCCAUUUUAUUCUUUGCUAACAAUGUCCCUGUGAUAUUAGCCAAGAAAGUUGUAAUUUGUGGUAAUAAAUUUAGGAAGGAUUGAACUCUACCAGCAGUUCACGACGGGAUUCAGACUUAGACUGAAGGGAGAUUCUGGUCCUGCUGUUCGGCACAAAUCUGCAAGUUAUGGCGGUGACAAUUCUCCCAGGAAGCAGGCAAAAUUUGACUUGGAAAAUGAUGGCUUGUGAACGUCUCUGCAAGGAAGAUCAGAGAGAGUUGGAGUUGUAAAGGUGACGGUCUGCUAAACAAACGAUGCAACAAAACAUGUGUAUGGAAGCUGGCGUGCCGUGUUGGUUAUUAAAAACACACCCACGCUGAAACGGCGCGACGGGAGCAACCAAGUGACGGGUGUCCGUCUGUGUUUAACGAGCUCCAGAAAGGCUAAAACCCGGCGGUCGCAUGUGUGCAGAUGAAGACACCUUUGUUCUGCUUACUUGUAAGAGUGUGAGACUGUAAUUGCAUGCCUUACGACGGACAAAAACACACUUCAUCAAGAACUAAACUUCAUGAAACGGACGGUGGACCGUUAAACCCGGCCACCGCUUUCUGUACGGCACUGUUAUCACACUGACAGAGGAAGAAUCCUGAAUAAAUGAACUCUAAGUUGAAGCAUUAUCUUUGAGUUUGCGAUGGAUACAUCUAUUGCUUCUACUUCCUACAACCUUAGAGUGGGGAAAAAAGAGAAGCAGCACUUUAAAACUUUAUAGACCCCCAAGGGAUCUGAGCUCUCAGGUCUUAAUUAGCUCGUUAGGGGAUAGGUCUGCUCACAGUCAUCAUAACGAACAAGCCAAGUGCUUAACUUUAAGGCUUU